rnacentral:rRNA from 1 species
UAGGGAAUCUUCCGCAAUGGGCGAAAGCCUGACGGAGCAACGCCGCGUGAGUGAUGAAGGUCUUCGGAUCGUAAAACUCUGUUAUUAGGGAAGAACAAAUGUGUAAGUAACUAUGCACGUCUUGACGGUACCUAAUCAGAAAGCCACGGCUAACUACGUGCCAGCAGCCGCGGUAAUACGUAGGUGGCAAGCGUUAUCCGGAAUUAUUGGGCGUAAAGCGCGCGUAGGCGGUUUUUUAAGUCUGAUGUGAAAGCCCACGGCUCAACCGUGGAGGGUCGUUGGAAACUGGAGAACUUGAGUGCAGAAGAGGAAAGUGGAAUUCCAUGUGUAGCGGUGAAAUGCGCAGAGAUAUGGGGGAACACCAGUGGCGAAGGCGACUUUCUGGUCUGUAACUGACGCUGAUGUGCGAAAGCGUGGGGAUCAAACAGG